UACGUAGGGGGCUAGCGUUAUCCGGAAUUACUGGGCGUAAAGGGUGCGUAGGUGGUUUCUUAAGUCAGAGGUGAAAGGCUACGGCUCAACCGUAGUAAGCCUUUGAAACUGGGAAACUUGAGUGCAGGAGAGGAGAGUGGAAUUCCUAGUGUAGCGGUGAAAUGCGUAGAUAUUAGGAGGAACACCAGUUGCGAAGGCGGCUCUCUGGACUGUAACUGACACUGAGGCGCGAAAGCGUGGGGAGCGAACAGGAUUAGAUACCCCGAUAGUCCCUGAGCGGG
rnacentral:rRNA from 1 species